rnacentral:rRNA from 1 species
CACGCCGUAAACGAUGGAUACUAGGUGUGGGGGCCAUAAGGUCUCCGUGCCGCAGCAAACGCAUUAAGUAUCCCGCCUGGGGAGUACGACCGCAAGGUUGAAACUCAAAGGAAUUGACGGGGGCCCGCACAAGCAGCGGAGCAUGUGGUUUAAUUCGAAGCAACGCGAAGAACCUUACCAAGGCUUGACAUCCCGAUGACCGGUGUAGAGAUACACCUUUUCUUCGGAACAUCGGUGACAGGUGG